rnacentral:rRNA from 1 species
GACGAACGCUGGCGGCGUGCUUAACACAUGCAAGUCGAACGGAAAGGCCCUGCUUUUGUGGGGUGCUCGAGUGGCGAACGGGUGAGUAACACGUGAGUAACCUGCCCUUGACUUUGGGAUAACUUCAGGAAACUGGGGCUAAUACCGGAUAGGAGCUCCUGCUGCAUGGUGGGGGUUGGAAAGUUUCGGCGGUUGGGGAUGGACUCGCGGCUUAUCAGCUUGUUGGUGGGGUAGUGGCUUACCAAGGCUUUGACGGGUAGCCGGCCUGAGAGGGUGACCGGCCAAAUGGGAACUGAGAUACGGCCCAGACUCCUACGGGAGGCAGCAGUGGGGAAUAUUGCACAAUGGGCGGAAGCCUGAUGCAGCAACGCCGCGUGCGGGAUGACGGCCUUCGGGUGGUAAACCGCUUUCGCCUGUGACGAGGCGUGAGUGACGGUAAUGGGAAAAGAAGCACCGGCUAACUACGU